rnacentral:rRNA from 1 species
GAUGAACGCUGGCGGCGUGCCUAAUACAUGCAAGUCGAGCGAACGGACGAGAAGCUUGCUUCUCUGAUGUUAGCGGCGGACGGGUGAGUAACACGUGGAUAACCUACCUAUAAGACUGGGAUAACUUCGGGAAACCGGAGCUAAUACCGGAUAAUAUUUUGAACCGCAUGGUUCAAAAGUGAAAGACGGUCUUGCUGUCACUUAUAGAUGGAUCCGCGCUGCAUUAGCUAGUUGGUAAGGUAACGGCUUACCAAGGCAACGAUGCAUAGCCGACCUGAGAGGGUGAUCGGCCACACUGGAACUGAGACACGGUCCAGACUCCUACGGGAGGCAGCAGUAGGGAAUCUUCCGCAAUGGGCGAAAGCCUGACGGAGCAACGCCGCGUGAGUGAUGAAGGUCUUCGGAUCGUAAAACUCUGUUAUUAGGGAAGAACAUAUGUGUAAGUAACUGUGCACAUCUUGACGGUACCUAAUCAGAAAGCCACGGCUAACUACGUGCCAGCAGCCGCGGUAAUACGUAGGUGGCAAGCGUUAUCCGGAAUUAUUGGGCGUAAAGCGCGCGUAGGCGGUUUUUUAAGUCUGAUGUGAAAGCCCACGGCUCAACCGUGGAGGGUCAUUGGAAACUGGAAAACUUGAGUGCAGAAGAGGAAAGUGGAAUUCCAUGUGUAGCGGUGAAAUGCGCAGAGAUAUGGAGGAACACCAGUGGCGAAGGCGACUUUCUGGUCUGUAACUGACGCUGAUGUGCGAAAGCGUGGGGAUCAAACAGGAUUAGAUACCCUGGUAGUCCACGCCGUAAACGAUGAGUGCUAAGUGUUAGGGGGUUUCCGCCCCUUAGUGCUGCAGCUAACGCAUUAAGCACUCCGCCUGGGGAGUACGACCGCAAGGUUGAAACUCAAAGGAAUUGACGGGGACCCGCACAAGCGGUGGAGCAUGUGGUUUAAUUCGAAGCAACGCGAAGAACCUUACCAAAUCUUGACAUCCUUUGACAACUCUGGAGAUAGAACCUUCCCCUUCGGGGGACAAAGUGACAGGUGGUGCAUGGUUGUCGUCAGCUCGUGUCGUGAGAUGUUGGGUUAAGUCCCGCAACGAGCGCAACCCUUAAGCUUAGUUGCCAUCAUUAAGUUGGGCACUCUAAGUUGACUGCCGGUGACAAACCGGAGGAAGGUGGGGAUGACGUCAAAUCAUCAUGCCCCUUAUGAUUUGGGCUACACACGUGCUACAAUGGACAAUACAAAGGGCAGCGAAACCGCGAGGUCAAGCAAAUCCCAUAAAGUUGUUCUCAGUUCGGAUUGUAGUCUGCAACUCGACUACAUGAAGCUGGAAUCGCUAGUAAUCGUAGAUCAGCAUGCUACGGUGAAUACGUUCCCGGGUCU